UAAAUCUAUCCAUGUGUCAUCCGUAAUUAGCUGUGGCAAAAAGAAAAUACGAGGACACAAGUAAAAUUUUCCACCAUCCCUAUUUUUUACCCCACACCUACGUGGAAUGACUCAUCAAUUCAUUUUCAAAGACCACUUUUUGUUAUGCAAAGUCGAGAACUUAUGGGACAAAUAGCCAAUUCUUGUCAUGCAUGAUUUCUUCUUCGCUUUGCACGUAAAUCUCAAAUACAAUGACCUUACGAUCUCAUUCUCCUAAACAACCUUCCAUUUUAAACGCUUUUCUUGAUUUCUCAUCUGCAUUGCAUCCUGUUAAUUUUUUCUUGCAUCUCAACCCUAAAGAAGACGACGAAAAACAUUUCGUCAAACAAAGAGAUCUUGUUUUCAUAAACUCCAUUGGAGAGGGAGGAACAAUUUAAAUGAACAUAAAAGUAGAAGGAGAUUAAAAAGAGGAUAAUUGGAAAAAGGGAAGAGAAAGAAAUAUAAAGGAAGAGGUGUUUGUAGAGACAAAAAACGAGUAACUUUCUCCAUUUUGUAAAUCUCGCAUUCUGCAUUUUUAUUAUUAUUGUCAAUUGAAGAGAGAAGAAUAAUGAAUGAGAGGGAGGGGGAUCUGAGGGUUCCUCUAAUCUCUUUCUUGUUAUGUAUUUGUGUACUUAUUGGUGGAAUUUUCCUAUUUCUUUACCUAUUUGUGCCAAAUCUUUCACAACCUUGGUUUCCUCCAAUAGCACUAAUCUUGAUUGGAUUUCCAUGGUUACUUUGGCUGCUAACAUACAUUUACACAUGCAUAAAGAGAUGUUUUGGAAUGAGCAGUACCGAUAAUCGCCAAAUUUCUAGACGAGCAUCGAGAGCACCUACAAUGGCAAAUUCUGGAAUGGCCAGAAAUGGUUCAAUGGCAAAUAAUAAUGAUGGAAAACAGGUACAAUUUGGGGCUGCAUCUCUCAACUCCUCUCAUGGCAGCAAAAGUGCAGAUGCAUCAUCCAUCAACUCCUCCCAAGAAAUUGAAAUGCCUUUAACCACAUCAGCUCCUUCUUGAUAUAUAUAUAUACAUAUUCGGAUAAUGACUACAAAAACUAGAGCUCAUGGCUGCAUUUAUCAGCUGAAACUUGUAAACGUUCGCUUUUGACGAUGAUUUUAAUGACCACAUUAAGAGCUUUGCAGAUAAUGAAGAUGAUAAUGGUGAAUGUAAGUAGAAAUGGUACAAAGGGAUUUGUUUGUGUUUCUGCAUGUAAAGAUUGAAUCUGAAAAAGAAAAAAAAUAGCGUUGUUGUUAGGUAA